CUGACUCAGGGAGGUAGUGACAAAAAAUAACUUAGUCGAGCCGUUUUCGGUUUGACUUUAGGAAUGAGAACAAUUUAAAUCCCUUAUCGAGGAUCAAUUGGAGGGCAAGUCUGGUGCCAGCAGCCGCGGUAAUUCCAGCUCCAAUAGCGUAUAUUAAUGUUGUUGCAGUUAAAAAGCUCGUAGUUGGAUUUCUGGUCGGGACGUCUGGCCGGCUCCGCAAGGGGUCGUUGCAUUGACUGUACUCGUCCAUCCUCAGGUUGACUAGCUCUGGUAUUUAUUUAUCGGUGUUAGAACGCCUGUCGUUUACUGUGAACAAAUUAGAGUGUUCAAAGCAAGGUGUACUUGAAUACAUUAGCAUGGAAUAAUAAGAUAGGACUUUGGUGGUUCUUUUUAGAUAUUUUGUUGGUUUGCACGCCAAAGUAAUGAUUAAUAGGAGCAGUUGGGGGUAUUCGUAUUCAAUUGUCAGAGGUGAAAUUCUUGGAUUUAUAGAAGACGAACUACUGCGAAAGCAUUUACCAA
rnacentral:rRNA from 1 species